UGAUAGAGGCGCGGCCGACAUCAGUAGCCCUGGAAACAAGCGACGGGAAUCGCCGGGGUGAAAGGGGACGCCGCCGAAGGGGAUCGGCCCGCCCGGGGCAGGUUCUCUGGGCCGCCGGAGAAGAUCCGGCGGACUGUCGCGAAAGCGGAGCGCUGUCA
rnacentral:ncRNA from 1 species